CGGACGGGUGAGUAAUGUCUGGGAAACUGCCUGAUGGAGGGGGGUAACUACUGGAAACGGUAGCUAAUACCGCAUAACGUCGCAAGACCAAAGAGGGGGACCUUAGGGCCUCUUGCCAUCGGAUGUGCCCAGAUGGGAUUAGCUAGUAGGUGGGGUAACGGCUCACCUAGGCGACGAUCCCUAGCUGGUCUGAGAGGAUGACCAGCCACACUGGGACUGAGACACGGCCCAG
rnacentral:rRNA from 1 species